CCAUCUGGAGGACACCAGGAUGGCAAAGACAUAGGUCAGUCUUUGCCAUUCUGCUUUCCUCCAGAUAG